AGAGUUUGAUCCUGGCUCAGAAUGAACGCUGGCGGCGUGCUUAACACAUGCAAGUCGAACGAGAAAUCCUCUGCUUGCAGAGGAGAGUAAAGUGGCGCACGGGUGAGUAACGCGUGGGUAAUUUACCCUUGGAUUUGGGAUAACAUUUCGAAAGGGGUGCUAAUACCAGAUAAUAUCCUGAUGAUUUUGGUUAUUAGGAUCAAAGAUAGCCUCUACAUGUAAGCUAUUGUGCAAGGAUGAGCCCGCGUACCAUUAGCUAGUUGGCAGGGUAAAGGCCUACCAAGGCGAUGAUGGUUAGCUGGUCUGAGAGGAUGAUCAGCCACACUGGAACUGAGACACGGUCCAGACUCCUACGGGAGGCAGCAGUGGGGAAUUUUGCGCAAUGGGCGAAAGCCUGACGCAGCAACGCCGCGUGAGUGAUGAAGGCUUUCGGGUCGUAAAGCUCUGUCGAGGGGAAAGAAAUGCAUUGAGGUUAAUACCCUCGAUGCUUGACGGUACCCCUAAAGGAAGCACCGGCUAACUCCGUGCCAGCAGCCGCGGUAAUACGGGGGGUGCAAGCGUUGUUCGGAAUUAUUGGGCGUAAAGCGCGUGUAGGCGGUCUGAUUAGUCUGAUGUGAAAGCCCUGGGCUCAACCCAGGAAGUGCAUUGGAUACUGUCAGACUUGAAUACGGGAGAGGGUAGUGGAAUUCCUAGUGUAGGAGUGAAAUCCGUAAGAUAUUAGGAGGAACACCGGUGGCGAAGGCGGCUACCCUGGACCGAUAUUGACGCUGAGACGCGAAAGCGUGGGUAGCAAACAGGAUUAGAUACCCUGGUAGUCCACGCCGUAAACGAUGAGUACUAGGUGUUGCGGGUAUUGACCCCUGCAGUGCCGCAGCUAACGCAUUAAGUACUCCGCCUGGGAAGUACGGUCGCAAGACUAAAACUCAAAGGAAUUGACGG
rnacentral:rRNA from 1 species